CUCUCACCCAACCGCCAGCCUUCUUGCUGCGUAUAUUCCAGAGGCAGCACGCUUUUGCCGCCGAAGGACAUUAGAGCGAAGCAUUUAUAUACCCAAGCACCUAAGCACUACGCAGUAUAUAACACUUGAGAGGAUAGCCCUGCUAUUCAUUUUGUGUUCACUGAUUGACCAUGUCUUACAAUUGACGCGGCAAAAUGAGUCUGGCGGACUUUAUUGGUUUUGUAUUUUUUAAUUCUGACUCUCUGGUAUACCCCAUAUCGUCGUAUCUAAAAAAAGUAGUUACUGAACGAUGAUGAUGAUGCUUUACUUCGAUGAACGGUAAAGGAAAUUAAAACAAGCAGUGUGUCUUCCACGGAUAAUGUAUCCCUUGUUAACCGAGCCCCUUUUAUUGUCACGCUCAUCGUUUAUUUUAUUAUUAUUUUGGCUUCAUUAUGCAUUGGGGGCAGACAUCAAUGCAGUGCCCAUGCUACUGCCACCAGAAUCGGAUAUGGAUGUGAAUAGAAGUCCAGCAUCAGUUUCUAUCUUGGGAACAUGGCAUGUUCUUGGUCCGUUUAAAACUGGCACG
rnacentral:sRNA from 1 species